UCCCAGGGUUAGCAUGGAAGAAAAUAGAAAAAACAGUGUUAAACCCACAGUUCUGUUUCUUUAGCAUGCCUUUAUUGAAACCUGAAAAGCCUGGUUUUGAGAGCUUCAUUUCAGGGUUGAAAGCAUUUAUUUGCAGGUCUACUGAUCAAUUUUUGUAAGAAGACAGAUUUGCUCUUUUGUAUGCACACUUACAAAUAUGUCCCAGUACAGGAUACCUUUUAUUGUUGGAGUUUUGCAAGCUGAAAAAAAAUAAAGUGUGAACAUGUUGUGAAGGAAAACGUAUAUAUAUUUUCCACUGGAAUAAUGUGAUAAUAACUUUCCUGCACUCUUUAAAACAACUGGAAAAGCAGAGAGAAACUGGAAAAAGCUUCCAUGGAAAGGUUCCUGUUGCCUGUGUGUUUAGAGGAUAAUUCAUUGUCACUAUUGUAGCGCUGAAAACCUAUUGCAUGAUUUGUUAUGAAGUAGUUACUAUGCCUCUGACACAAAAUGUGAAGUACACUGAAGUAUUAUUAACUGAAUGUAUUUUGGGUCAAUAUUCAGUAUGUGAAUAUAUGGAAGUACUGAAAAAUGUACAGAUCAGAAGAUGAUUGGAAAAGAUUGACUACUGAGAUUUUACUUUUUGCAAAAUAUUGUAUUAUGGCAUUUUUUUUUGGUAGUAUAUGCAUUGAAUGAAAUCUGGGCCACGCUGGAGACAAAGGGAAUAUUACAUUUUCUGUAAGAACCUGAUUUUAUCCAAUAUGUAUUUCAGUAUAGAGUGAUCAAUAUUAUGAGUUAAUUAAAUGAAUUAGUUCAGACUGGGCAUGUCUUAUGUCUCCUAAGCAAUAAAUGAUUUUGACUUUACACUGCUGAGAUCAA